rnacentral:rRNA from 1 species
AUACGGAGGGUGCAAGCGUUGUUCGGAAUCACUGGGCGUAAAGGGCGUGCAGGCGGUUUGUUUAGUCAGAUGUGAAAGCCCACGGCUCAACCGUGGAAGUGCAUUUGAAACUGGCAGACUUGAGUAUCCGAGGGGGAAGUGGAAUUCCCGGUGUAGAGGUGAAAUUCGUAGAUAUCGGGAGGAAUACCGGUGGCGAAGGCGACUUCCUGGCUGAAUACUGACGCUGAGGCGCGAAAGCGUGGGGAGCAAACAGGAUUAGAAACCCCAGUAGUCC